rnacentral:lncRNA from 13 species
CCAGCCACACUCAUAGUGCUUAAACAGUGGAAAAACUCUAGGCACCAGCUGCUGUGAAUGGCUGUGGUCAAUUGCAACGUGGUCAAACGGGACGUUCUGAUAUACAACAUAAGGACAAGGCAAAGCAAUAGAAAAAUCUCGGCAAAUGUCAACUGUCGAAAAAUAUAUAGAAGAUCUUCGACAAGAAAAAAAAGUUUUAGAAGACGCUAUGGAGAGACGUCACAGAGAAGUGAUGCAGUCACGCGAACAAUUUCUCCUUUCUAUGGAAAAAAUGCUCGAAAUUAUGAGCAAGAAGUAAUUAAAAAAUUCGAAAAUUUAAAAAGUGUGAUGUUUAAAAUAAUUAAUAAUUAUGAAAAAAAGUUUAAAAUAAAAUAGGGGUAAUAAUUAUAAGUAAUAGCGAUAAAAAUUAGAAUAAGUUUUUCAUUGUGUGUUCUAUUUGUGUGAAUUUAUUGAAUAAAUCAAUGUAACUAA